UAUAGGCGAUGCUCUCCUAGUCUUCAUCAAGCAGUUCUCCUCCAAUUGUUCGAGAGAGGUGACAGUAUUUCUGGGCUUCUUUUGUUUUAUCUGAGCUAGCGCUAUAAAAAUAAAAGCUAUUAACGCAAGCAGACGAUAGCGAACCAGACGAUAGCGAAGCAGAGCACGCAGAUUUUUCGUCCACUCAGCCGAUAGAUCGAUCAAUAUAUUCAUUGAUUGAUCUGCUUAUUUAUUGAUUGAUUUAGUGAAGAAAGAAAGAAAGAAAGAAGGCACUAUGUCUGUGACAACGGUUUCAUUGAUCACUCUAUCUGUUAUGCUUCUCUUCGGCUUGUCCGAGGCUUACGGCGGAGGAGGAGGUGGCAGUGGAGGCGGCGGCGGUGGUGGCGGCGGAGGAACUUUUAUAUGGGUUCCGGGAGGCGGCGGCAACCGACCCUUUCCUGAAGGAGGCGGCGGCGGUGGCGGCGGCGGAAGUUGGGGAGGCAAAAUCCCCUGGAAUGGCGGCGGCGGCAUGGGCAGAGGAGGAGGAGGAGGAGGUGGCGGACGAUGGGUCUGGACUGGUGGCAAUGGCGGCGGCGGCGGAGGCGGUAGCUUUGGAUGGGGUAUGAGAAGAGGCGGAGGAGGCGGUGGUUAUGACUGAAGGAAUGGAUACUUUCAGCAAAAAAAAAAAAAAUAUCGGAAGUAAAACCAGCGUCAUACGACAUCCGUCACAGUUGAAUCUAACCAAUAUACAUUCUUAAUUCAUUGGUUGUCUUCCAACAAGAGCAGCGAACCAUAACCCUAACUACACUCUCAACCAUACCAAUUCUAACAUCACCCCCAUCUUGAUCCUGGAAAUAUUCAC